GACAGAGGUGCCGAGCGUUAGGCGGAAUCACUGGGCUUAAAGCGUGUGUAGGCGGACUUCUAAGUACCUUGUGAAAUCCCACGGCUCAACCGUGGAACUGCUUGGUAUACUGGUCGUCUUGAGCCAUCUAGGGGCUGUCGGAACAAAUGGUGGAGCGGUGAAAUGCGUAGAUAUCAUUUGGAACGCCAAAGGUGAAGACAGACAGCUGGGGAUGUGCUGACGCUGAGACACGAAAGCCAGGGGAGCGAACGGG
rnacentral:rRNA from 1 species